rnacentral:rRNA from 1 species
UACGUAGGGUGCAAGCGUUGUCCGGAAUUACUGGGCGUAAAGCGCGCGUAGGCGGCUUUGUAAGUUAGAGGUGAAAGCCCGGAGCUUAACUCCGGAACUGCCUUUAAGACUGCAUCGCUAGAAUUGUGGAGAGGUGAGUGGAAUUCCGAGUGUAGAGGUGAAAUUCGUAGAUAUUCGGAAGAACACCAGUGGCGAAGGCGACUCACUGGACACAUAUUGACGCUGAGGUGCGAAAGCGUGGGGAGCAAACAGG